GGUCCCAUUCCGAACCCGGAAGUUAAGCCUCUCAGCGUCGAUGGUACUGCAAGGGGGACCUUGUGGGAGAGUAGAACGUCGCCGGAC
rnacentral:rRNA from 1 species